GACUUGAGACACGGCCCAGACUCCUACGGGAGGCAGCAGUGGGGAAUAUUGCACAAUGGGCGAAAGCCUGAUGCAGCGACGCCGCGUGAGGGAUGACGGCCUUCGGGUUGUAAACCUCUUUCAGCAGGGAAGAAGCGAGAGUGACGGUACCUGCAGAAGAAGCGCCGGCUAACUACGUGCCAGCAGCCGCGGUAAUACGUAGGGCGCAAGCGUUGUCCGGAAUUAUUGGGCGUAAAGAGCUCGUAGGCGGCUUGUUGCGUCGGUUGUGAAAGCCCGGGGCUUAACCCCGGGUCUGCAGUCGAUACGGGCAGGCUAGAGUGUGGUAGGGGAGAUCGGAAUUCCUGGUGUAGCGGUGAAAUGCGCAGAUAUCAGGAGGAACACCGGUGGCGAAGGCGGAUCUCUGGGCCAUUACUGACGCUGAGGAGCGAAAGCGUGGGGAGCGAACAGGAUUAGAUACCCUGGUAGUCCACGCCGUAAACGUUGGGAACUAGGUGUUGGCGACAUUCCACGUUCGUUCGGUGCCGCAAGCUAACGCAUUAAG
rnacentral:rRNA from 1 species